ensembl:snRNA U6 U6 spliceosomal RNA
AUACGCUCACCUCAGCUGUAUAUGUCCUAGAAUUGGAAUAGCACAGAGAAAAAUAGCAGAGCCCAUGAAUAAGGAUAACAUGUAAAUUUGUAAAACAUCCAUGUUCUUU